GUAACACAACAUGAUAUUAAUUGAAGAGUUUGAUCAUGGCUCAGAUUGAACGCUGGCGGUAGGCUUAACACAUGCAAGUCGUGCGAGAAAGUAUCUUCGGAUAUGAGUAGAGCGGCGGACGGGUGAGUAACGCGUAGGAAUCUACCUAGUAGAAGGGGAUAGCCCGGGGAAACCCGGAUUAAUACCGUAUACCUCCUUCGGGAGAAAGAAGGCCUCUCUUUGAAGCUUUCGCUAUUAGAUGAGCC
rnacentral:rRNA from 1 species